rnacentral:lncRNA from 1 species
CAAAAAUAUUCAUUUAUUCAUAUUUCUGUGUAUAUGGGAGACAAAGUGCUCUUUCUCCACGACAUCUAGUAUAUACGUACAUAUAUAUAUGUAUAUAUAUAUAUAUAUGUAUAUAUAUAUAUAUAUAUAUAUGUAUAUAUAUAUGUAUGUAUCAAAAGAACACCGUGUACGUUAAUCGUUUUUUUUUCUGCACAUUUGCUGAGGAUGUUUGUGUGGCAGACAGUCGCUGCUUCUUGUGAGAGAACAUUGGUUUCUGUCUCGUCCGAGAAUCUGCUUCUUCUCUCUGAACUUGCUUUCACUGACUAGCGAACGUCUGCCUUUCUCCGAUCUCUGUGUCGUCUUGUUUCCCCGCUGUCCUCCUCCUCUCUCCUCUGACUUCUUUGUGUCCGUUCUCCUCGGUUUCUUCGUACUUCUCCCGCUGCGGUUUUGCUCGUCUCUUCUUUCUCUUGUGACUUUGUUCUCUCCUCUCGCUCUGUCGCUUCUUGUGGCUGGUCGUUUUUUCUCCGGUUUCUGCCGGCUUGCUUCUCUGUUCGAAUGCGACUUUUUUCAUCUCGGGAAACGACCGCAGAAGCAGGAGUCCGCGUUCGCGAAGACGGAGGGAAGACAAAGAGAGACGAAACAGUUGGCAUCCUUUACGCAGAGCAGACGUUUUUUUUGCGUCUGGUUCUCGCAGUCCAAACGGAAUGCACAGGGAAAAUACGCAAUCGUUGUUCGUUUCAUCGAAAAAGUGCAGACCUUUGUCUGCAUUUUGAAACCGGUGGCAUGGGAGAGUCGCGCCGUCGGAGGCAGAGCUCGAGGGUGUGAGACACACAGCAGACGAGAGCGAUGCAGGAGGAGCGACUCUCGGCGGAGACAGCGACAGACGCGCCUCUGUCGCAGAAGAGCGAGGAGACGAAAGCCAUUCGCAAAGACAAGUUGCGCGCCAUGGUGGUCUCCCACAAGGCAAACAGACCUUGCCGUUUGAGGGACUGCGGAAGAGACGCGUGAGAGGACAGAGCCGGCGACAACCGCCGCAUGCAAGCGGAGAGAAGAGGCAUCCAGAAAAGAAAGCAAAGGAAGCAGAUGGAGAGGCGAGAGACAGGGCGCGUUCAAGCCUCGUCCAGUGCUUCUCCUAAAAGGAAGGCAACUGAGACAAGCAAAGGAAGGAAUCGAGGGAACAGAGACAGAAAGGAAGCUGAGAGCAGAGAAACAGACGAAACCUGUUCUCAGGACUGGGCGAUCUGGAUCUGACGGUCGGGCGACAUCGAACGUCGCCUGGGAGGCGACGCGUUCCACCGGCGUCGGCAGAGCGAGACGGCAAGAACACUGGUCGCCAUUGGGGAAAGCGAAAGAGGACGGAGAAGAAGUCGAGGAGACCUCUCAGUGAAGAAAGAAAAGGAACCACAGGAUGACGACGACGACCACGACGAAAAGCGCCCAGAGGAGACACCUGGAGGGAAACGCAGAAGCGAAGAGGCUAAUCUCUCAGUGACAACAGAUGCAGGAAACGUCCACUUCAAGGGCAGUGCAUGCGGUGGAGAAGAGGAGAGCGAGGCAGAGAUGAAGCGAAACGAGAGGGAUAAACCUCGCGACAGGCGGCCGAACAAAAGGCGCGAGGAGGCACCAAAAAACUCGUCAAGAGACAGACGGAAAGACAGCGCGAAUGACAGGCCGCCGCGCCGCAGACGGGGACGCGGAAAGCGAGAACAACCCAGAGGAGAAAACGAAAAUCGAAGAACCUCCGGAAAAAUGGAACUCACUUUCUGCGUGUGGCGGCGCACCUCAGGCGCCGCGCAUGCACCAGCUCGCGGGCGGCCUGGUCCGAGGAGUCUCUGGUGGAAUCCAAGAGAGUCGCGACGCCAUCUGGAGGAGAACAGCGGUGGAGAAAACAGAGGCGGAAAAGGCAGGGAUGUGCCGAGAGAAGAAGAGAGGAGAGGAGGAAGGCGAAAAAAAUGGGGAACAGAAAGAAGGAAGAGAGGGAGAAAAGCGGGCAACCGAACGGCAGGAACGUCGAAAAGGAGAGCGGAGAGGAAGGACGGAGACGCAAGUAGGAAGAAGAGAAGAAGGAAAACGAACAGGAAAACGAUGCGAACUACGAACACUAGCAAGAAGAGGAAAACGAGUGGAAAGAACGGUCUCUCUACAUGUCGCAGCACUGAAGCAAGAAUGACACCCAACAACUUACAGAAACAACGAAAAAACGAAGAAGAAACGCUAGAAAUCAGAGACACGACGCGCUGUGCCUGUUCCAAAUACUGUCCUCAAGAAAAGAAAACGGACGCCAUCUUUGCGUCCUUUCAGACAGAAAAUCACCUGCACAUGCGUGAAACCGAAAACAUGGAAAAACGCACACUUACAAAUAUCGAUUGACAAAGGUCUACGCAAACGCAAAAACUCUUGCAACAAUACAUAUACAGGAUACAUGCGUAUACGCAGAGACAGCCA